GAUAUCGGUAUAGAUAAAAUACCUUCCAGAGGAGACAUAUUGGGCCCAACGCCCCAAACAUCCCAGCUCCUUCUUUGUACACCUGAAUCUGCCAGCUAAGAACUUUUGGAAGAAUGGGGGGGGGGGUGAGGGGGGACUCUUCCCCACAAUGAAGCCGAGGCCAUUAUAAAAAGAGCAUAUCUCCGAAACCUAAGCCUUUUGCAGUGACCUUUGGCUCGUGCGGCAAUAACUCACCACUUAAUGAACAACCAGCGGAAGGCCCCUCCAUGAGUUGGCAGCCCAAACGAGCUCCCCGCUUCCUUCUGGGCUCGCUUUCCCCCUGCUCAGCUGGCCAGGCAGACAGCAAGCCUUCCUCCCCGCUUCCGAGCCGGCUUUUCCUGGAGGCAAGCCGGCAAAAGGGCCCUGGGUUGAGGCGGGGAGAGCUGCUCACUGUCUCAGCCCGGCUUCCCCAAGGCCUGUCCCGACCCCAACGCCUUAUAGGACGCGCGAGACAUGUAGGUGGGCACGCGCCCGCUCUAAGUGGAUUUAUUUAUUUUUCCACCUCCCUUUCUUUAGAAAUUAACCAGUUAUUUGUACAGUAUGAAGAAGGAAAUCGUAAACUGCAGGGAGAAGGGGGGGGGGGCAACCACACAGAAGCGCCUGAGCCGAAGGACCAUUCUUUCCGAAAGCCAGUCAUUGUUACCCUGCUCUUGAUUAACGGGAGGCGACAGGCUUAAUCCCCACCAAACCAAACCAGUUCCCCAAAUACAAACUGGCAUCGAAGGAAAAUAAAAGCCCAGAGACCCCAACAUAUGAG
rnacentral:lncRNA from 11 species